rnacentral:rRNA from 1 species
AUUGAACGCUGGCGGCAGGCUUAACACAUGCAAGUCGAACGAGCGGCGGACGGGUGAGUAAUGCACGGGAAACUGCCUGAUGGAGGGGGACAACUACUGGAAACUGUAGCUAAUACCGCAUACCACGAGCUGUGCCCAGAUGGGAUUAGCGAGUAGGUGGGGUAAUGGCUCACCAAGGCGACGAUCCCUAGCUGGUCUGAGAGGAUGACCAGCCACACUGGAACUGGGACACGGUCCAGACUCCUACGGGAGGCAGCAGUGGGGAAUAUUGCACAAUGGGCGCAAGCCUGAUGCAGCCAUGCCGCGUGUGUGAAGAAGGCCUUCGGGUUGUAAAGCACUUUCGGCGGGGAGGCGUUACUCGCAGAAGAAGCACCGGCUAAGUACGUGCCAGCAGCCGCGGUAAUUC